rnacentral:rRNA from 1 species
AGUGAACGCUGGCGGUAGGCCUAACACAUGCAAGUCGAACGGCAGCACAGUAAGAGCUUGCUCUUACGGGUGGCGAGUGGCGGACGGGUGAGGCAUACAUCGGAAUCUACUUUUUCGUGGGGGAUACCGUAGGGAAACUUACGCUAAUCCCGCAUACGACCUACGGGUGAAAGCAGGGGAUCUUCGGACCUUGCGCGAUUGAAUGAGCCGAUGUCGGAUUAGCUAGUUGGCGGGGUAAAGGCCCACCAAGGCGACGAUCCGUAUCUGGUCUGAGAGGAUGAUCAGCCAAACUGGAACUGAGACACGGUCCAGACUCCUACGGGAGGCAGCAGUGGGGAAUAUUGGACAGUGGGCGCAAGCCUGAUCCAGCCAUACCGCGUGGGGGAAGAAGGCCUUCGGGUUGUAAAGCCCUUUUGUUGGGAAAGAAAAGCAGAAGGUUAAAACCCCGCUGUUCUGGCGGUACCCAAAGAAUAAGCACCGGCUAACUUCGUG